GGGUAAAUGGUCUAGGGGUAUGAUUUUCGCUUCGCAUCAUCUGUGAUUGUGAAAGGUCCAGGGUUCGAAUCCCUGUUUAUCCA
rfam:Capronia semiimmersa strain CBS 27337 unplaced genomic scaffold supercont1.4, whole genome shotgun sequence.